rnacentral:lncRNA from 1 species
GUUCUGUGCAGAGGAAAAGAAACCUCAUCAAUAGUAAGAGCCACAUCUAUCAGGAGAAAGCUGUCAGUCUCUGAAGCAUGUUCUUUUUUCAAGCCCAGAGAGACUCCACUUCACCACCUUAUCUUGCCCAAGGCUCCAAGCGGUAUUUCAGGAUGGAGAACACCCUGUAGAAGCCAUUCAUCUGCUCCUCCAGGAUUUCCAUGAUGCUGUGGUUGCUCAGGUCCCUCUCUGUCCAGUCCAGCCAUGUCACAAUGGGCGUGAGAUUCGCCACUGAACUCCAGAUACCCUGUUGAGAACCACAGAAGAUAAUGAAUUAUUCUCACCACCACCACCUUCUCAUGUCUUCCAACUCUUAUCCUGGAGGAAUUCUGCCGUGCCUUCCCCAAUCCCUAAAAGUCUCUGAUGGGGGAAAAGCUCUUCAUGCAAUCCUGUGAAGGAAAACUCAAGAUUUUCGGUGCCCUUCACAAAGGAGAAAUGACAGGAGAGGGUAACAUCAGUGAAUGGGUGGGCCCGCAGCUCCUCUGUAGACACCAAGAAUGUCAAAGAAGAAAUGAAGUUAAUAAAGACCAAUCAGCACUGCAUCAGCCCACCUCAUAGGUUGCCACUGAUGACCAGGUGAAGACCAAAUCAGUGAGAUCUCCACUCCCUUAACACUUCAAUCAGAACAAUCCCUCCCUUAUUUACUUUAUAAAUUAAGCUUCCAAAUCGAAUUCUUCUGUAAAAUGUCUCUGCUACUAAAAGACAAAACUGACUCCC